rnacentral:rRNA from 1 species
UACGUAGGGGGCAAGCGUUGUCCGGAUUUAUUGGGCGUAAAGAGCGUGUAGGCGGUUUGGUAGGUCCGCUGUGAAAACUCGAGGCUCAACCUCGAGACGCCGGUGGAAACCAUCAGACUAGAGUCCGGAAGAGGAGAGUGGAAUUCCUGGUGUAGCGGUGAAAUGCGUAGAUAUCAGGAGGAACACCUGUGGCGAAAGCGGCUCACUGGACCAUAACUGACGCUGAUGCCCGAAAGCUAGGGGAGCAAACAGG